UUGGCGCGCGUCGUUUCAGUAUGGAGCCUAUCAUCUUCAUUGUGGGUAAAGAUCUCCUUCAAUCGUAGAUUACUAUGCCUGUACCCGUUCCCUUCCUUACCAGAACGGGGCUUUUGGUGUGAAGAUACUUAUGAAUCAGGCACAUCAAUUACGGCCAAACCGAAACUUGGCAGCCACAAGGGAGCCAAGAGCCGUGUGGACCACGAAACACCAAACUCAAUUAGUCGAAAACGGAGGGGAAAAUUUAAAGUAAAGUCGCCCCUCAAUCACCACGCGGAGAACUCCACUUUGCCCACACACCACGAACCACGAACCGCCGAGCAACCGAAAAAGUGCAGUCAGAAUGGGGCACGGACGCGGAGACGGAGGCGGAGACGGGCAGGGCUGGGCUGGGGGCGUUUUGGGGGCACUGCAACUGUGCCUCAACUGCGGCCCCAUUAGUGUCACUUAGCAGCUAAUUAUGCUGCGCCUGUGAAUUACUUUUUAAUUUGUUGCUCUGCGCCCCGUACCAAAACAAAAAUAAACGCCAGCCAAGAACUUCAA